GUGAACCUGCGGAAGGAUCAUUAAAGUUAUCNUUACAGUUAUAAACAAAAACACAAUAUAUAAAAUACUUAUAUUGUAAAAUUAUGGCAAAUGCCAAAAAGAAACAAAAUAACAAUAAUAAAAAUGUUUAUUAUUGUAUNGCCUCCUAGGCAAAAAAGUAUAGUAUAUAAAGUGUUUGUGUGUGUGUUACACCUUACACAAAAAAUUACUUAUUUAUCUAAAAUUUGUAAAAACUGAAAUUGUGUGGACGUUGUUAUACAAAAUUAAUUUGUAUACAAAAUGUCUAAAAAUUUGAAAUACAUAAAAUUAUAGUUGUACUUGUAUAAAAUUGAAAAGUAAUUUUAUAUAAGUCAAUCAUUGUUCUUUUUUAAGAACUUGAGACAUUCGCAACAAAAAUUUUAUGUUUUAAUUAUAAAAGAGAAGAAUAAUAAGCAAAAAUUAUUGAAGGAAUUGAUAUAUGCCAAUUUGAA
rnacentral:rRNA from 1 species